CGCAUCCGCCUGGCGCGCGUCCCCGCCUUCCGUCUGGUUGCGGCUCCUUACAAUGGCCGAAAUGAUUUUAAUAUUAAUACUUCUAGGCCAGGGGUGAUCGUUCCGAAGGCGGUAACUGAAGCCUCCCCGUCCCUCCAAGCACAGGAAGACCUAGCAACGUUUCAAAACGGAAAGGUUACACUGUGUUCCUGUGUCUGAAGCUCUUCCUGCUGCCACCAAAGCUACAAAAAAGCAUCUAAGGCACAGGAAGCUUCCAUUGCACAGCAGAUGAGCAACUGAAGCAUGGCUUGAAAGCAGGCAGUCUGAUCGCAGAACCCACUUUCUUCACACAAAGCUCUACUGCCUCCUAGCGGUAAUUAAACAUCCUUAGACCACGAGCUUCAGACUCGCUGGUGAUGCUGAUUAAAUGCAGUUUCUUGGGCCAUUCCAGGGUGAGAGGAGUAGAGAACGUCUGUGAUAAUCUGCAGGCGCAAAGCCUCCAGGGAGUCUGCUGACAGCAUUACAGGGAGAGCCGUAGGCUGGAAGUUCAAGGCGAGGCAGCAGAAUGAACAUUCAAAUGACUAAGGUAGUUUGAUAAAUACCAUGGUGUAGUCUAACCCCCAGUGCUUUCAAGGCUGACACCAUUAUUACUGAAGCUGCAACCAUUUUCAUUUCCAUAUUACUUCACUGAAUCACUUGAUGCUCUUCAAAAAUUUCCCUGAUCUUCCUGCUCUUUUCUUAAGAUUUCCUCUUUCUUUUAAGAUGUUAUUCUAAUCUGGGAGAGAUGCCCAUGAUUUAGAGAAUUUCUUUUCCUCUUUCACAUUGCAUACCCUCUACUGGGAUACGGAUGAACUUAUCAAUAGCAAGGAGAGAUAAGAAGGGCUUCUUAAGCCAAUACAAAGAAAUAGAGGGGAACAAUAGAAUGGGGGGAAAAAAGAGAUCUCUUCAAGAAAAUUGAAGAUUCCAAGGGAAUAUUUCAUGCAAGGAUAGCACCAUAAAGGAUGGAAACAGUAAGGACCUAAUAGACGAGGAAGAUUAAGAAUUAAUAGAUUAAGAAGAGGUGGCAAGAAUACACAGAACUAUACAAAAAAGGUUUUAAUGACCCGGAUAACCACAAUGGUGUGGUCAUUCAUCUAGAGUCCAGAUAUCCUCGAAUGUGAAGUCAAAUGGGCCUGUAGGAAGCAUUACCAUGAACAAAGCCGGUGGACAUUAUGGAAUUCUAGGUGAACUAUUUCAAAUCCUAACUGAUGAUGCUUUUAAACUGCUGCCCUCAAUAUGCCAGAAAAUUUGGAAAACUCAGCAGUGGCCACAGGACUGGAAAAGAUCAGUUUUCAUUCCAACUCCAAGG